AUGGUUCAAGCUGCACAUAAAAGGAAACUGCCAGUGAUAGCCUUAAAACUGGACUUUAAAAAGGCCUUUGAUUCCAUUAGUUGGGCUUGCCUCACCCAAGUUCCUGAAGCUAGGGGUUUCCCAUCACGGUGGAUACAAUGGGUUCAUGCGCUCCUUUCCACGGGUCGAUCAAGAGUGUUACUUAAUGGGGAGCUGGGUGAUCCCAUCCUUGCCAAGAGAGGCUUUCGGCAGGGGGAUUCGUUGUCUCCGUACCUCUUCAUUCUUGUUGCUGAUGUUCUCCAAAGGCUCUGUUGUAUGCACUUUCGGAAUGGCACCUUGAUGCACCCACUCGGAUCAGAUGAUUUCUUCCCAGUCUUGCAGUACGCAGAUGAUACGCUGAUUAUUUUCAGAGGUGAGCUACAGCAGGCCAUCGUGAUCAAUGACAUCUUGACCGCUUUCUCUGAGUUCUCGGGGUUGAGCAUCAAUUUUCAUAAGAGCACCUUGGUACAUGUCGGUGUGGAGCCGGACGUAGCCUCUGCGAUUGCUCAUGCGCUUGGCUGCCAGGUUUCCUCCUUUCCUUGCACCUACCUGGGGCUGCCGAUGUCCUUGCAUAAGAUCAAACAUGGCAUGCUGCUACCGGUCAUUCACAAGGUUGAUCGCCGUCUAUCAGGUUGGCUGGCCACUUUUCUCUCUUUGGGGGGAGGUUGA
rnacentral:rRNA from 1 species